GGUAUUCCGUUACGAACGAGACCUUAACCUGCUAACUAGUCUGUCUGUGAACAACAGAUUGUACUUCUUAGAGGGACUAUUGUGCAAGAAGCCAAUGGAAGUUUAAGGCAAUAACAGGUCUGUGAUGCCCCUAGACGUGCUCGGCCGCACGCGCGUUACAAUGACUGGCGCAGAAAGUAUUUCCUGUCCUGGGAAGGUACGGGUAAUCUUAUUAAUACCAGUCGUGUUAGGGAUAGUUCUUUGGAAUUUUGGAUCUUGAACGAGGAAUUUCUAGUAAGUGCAAGUCAUCAGCUUGCGUUGAUUAUGUCCCUGCCGUUUGUACACACCGCCCGUCGCUUGUAGUAACGAAUGGUCUGGUGAACCUUCUGGACUGCGGCAGCAAUGCUGCGGAAAAAUAAGUAAACCCUACCAUUUGGAACAACAAGAAGUCGUAACAAGGUAUCUGUAGGUGAACCUGCAGAUGGAUCAUUA
rnacentral:rRNA from 1 species